rnacentral:lncRNA from 1 species
GAAGCUUUUAUAAGUAUGUAUUACUUUUAUAAUCAGAAUUCUUAGAAAAUAUUUUGCUGAUUUAAAGGCUUAGGCAUGUUCAAACGUCUGCAAAACUACUUAUCGCUCAGUUUUAGCUUUUCUAAUCCCGGAAGGCAGGCCAGUUAACUUUUCUGGUGCCAAUGUGAAAUUUAAAUGUUUUUGUUUUACCUGCUUUGUGGAUGAAAAAUAUUUCUGAGUGGUAGUUUUCUGACAGGUAGAUCAUGUCUUCUUAUCUUGUUUCAAAAUAAAUAUUUCUGAUUUUGUAAAAUGAAAUAUAAAAUAUGUCUCAGAUCUUCCAAUUAAUUAGUAAGGAUUCAUCCUUAAUCCUUGCUAGUUUAAGCCUGCCUAAGUCACUUUACUAAAAGAUCUUUGUUAACCCAGUAUUUUAACCAUCUGUCUGCUUCUGUAGGUACCUGUAGAUGCGUGUUUGUAUACGGCUUGUAGUUUUAGUGUCAGCUCUCCAUGUUGAGAUUCUCAAUGUUAUUUUGUGUCCUAAAGUCUGAUGUAGUUUUUGCUGUUAGGAAGAUGAAGAUGUAUAUAGUACAAAUGUUCAGUCUAUGAUUGUUUUCUGUUUGUUUUCUUGACUAAUAAUGGUAGUGGAUACUUUAAAAAGAUUUUCUCAAGAUCCUUAAAACAUUGGAAAUUGUAACAUACUGACAAGAGUAGUUGUUUGAAUAUUUUUAACAACUUGUAUAAGUCAAUAUGAAUAAAAUCCAAAGCUAAAAUGCUUUAUAAAACAUGGGAUUUACCUUAAGUAAUUAUCAUGAUAGACCUCUUGUAAAGACUGGUCUAUUUUACUACAGACAACAGUUUGGGAGUGAAACUGUUACAAUUUAGACUUUUCGUUGUAUUUUCUAAGAGAAAGAGUAUUGUUAGGUUCUCCUAACCUCUGUUGACUACUAUGAUAAGUGAUGUUAUUUUAAUUGCAAAUUUAAAUAGAAACCAACAGAAUUAAGUAACUGACUACCCUUUUUUCCUUCGCUUUUUUUUUUUUUAAUAAAAAUCCUUAGUUCUGUAUAAUGUCUUCUGCUUAGGUUAAGUUAUAUAAUUGUUAGGUUGCAUUUGAUCUAAAAUGACUAAGAUUUCAAUUUAUAUUUCAAGCAUUUUACCAGGGAAUAAAAGUGUUAGUUUUAAAAAUCGCUUCCAAGGCACUUCAGGUCCAAUUCAUGUAGGUAGUUUGUUUUAUCUAGUUGUUAGCCAAGGACUUAAGGACUGAUUGUUUUCAAAUAAGGCUUUUCUUGUUCUCAGAGCUUCACUCAGUUCAUUAAAACUCCUUUAAAACCUGUGUGCUGAGAGUUAAGCAAGACCUCUUUUCUUGUCUUCAUGAGUUGCGAAAUUGAAUUCAUGGAGCUGAUGUGGCUAACAAGUUUAUUUUAGGAAUUGUUUAGAAAAUGCUGUUGCUUUGGGUUCUUAAAAUCACAGCACUCCAACUCUAAUCAAAUUAUUGGAGAUUUACCAGAGUUUGUCUGAAAUCACGCAAGAAAAAAAAAAUCACUAGAUCCUUUCCAAUAUAGUUGUGUAAAAAUGGUCACUUGGAAGGUCACAUUAUAACCAGAUCUGAAUCACCACCCCUGAGAGAGUUCUCAGUGUCUGUGUAUCAAUGUUCUUUUUCUGUAAAAAGUUCACUCUCAGAUUUCGAAGUAACCACCCAUUUUACUACAUAUUAGUCAUGUGAAAUUUGAAGUUAUUUUGCAGUAAUUACUUGUAUUUGUUAUUUACUGUGUUGAUCAAACUUUUUGUGAGUAUUUAGCCUUUGUUAAAGUAUUUUCUUUCUUCCUAGAUGUUGCCUCUUCCUGUAGUUAGGGGUAGAGGCGAGGUGAGUGUAGUAAGUGAAUACAAUGUGAUUUCGCUGUGCUAGGCUAGUUUGUUGUCUUGUUAUUUACAGUGUGUUGUUAUCUGUUCUUAUUUUAGUAAGUAAGAUUUAUAUUUUGAGCUCUCUGAAUGGAAACUGCCACUCCAACAUGAGCUGCAUGCAUUGUUCCCAUUAGACCUACAUCUUAUUGUACUUCUGAGUACCUAGAUACUGAAUAAAAGAAAAGGAGAAAUGAAGUAGACUAUAAUUGCUACUAAUGAAACAGGAAAAUGGGUGGAGAAAUAUAUGACAGAUACCAUUUUAAUGAAGAAAAGAACUAGCCAAAUAGGCUUCACACCCUGAAUUCAGAUCCCCAGAACCCACACAAAAGCUGAGUGCAUCCAGGUGGUACUAGCACACUCCUUUAACCCCAGCAUUUGGGAGGCAGAUCUCUCUUAGUUUGAAACCAGCCUGAUCUGUAGAGCGAGUUCCAGGACAGGGAACCCUGUUUCACAAAACAAAACAAAGAAACAAAAAAAGCUAAGUGCACUAGGCCAGGUACCUGUAUUCCCAAAAUGCCUACCUGAAACAGGAAGUAGAUAGGAGAAUGUCCAGAAGCUCAUGCUCAUUGAAUGGCGUAUGUAUUAACAAAGAGGUACCAUGGUAAACAAAGUGGGAAGGUGAGGGCCCACCAAAACCCAAAGGUUCAUGCACCAUGGCAGGUAUCCACUUACACUCACACACACACACACACACACACACACACACACACACACACACACACACAAAAGAGAAAAAAUCAAAAGUAUUAACACAACCAUCUUCCAAGAUGAUGGAAUGCAACUCGAGAACAUCUUAUAUACUCUUAAGUGAUGACUCUCAUCCUAAAACUUUAGAAUCCUCCAUGGGUUUGUCUUGAUGGAGGAUCUUGGACUAAAGAUUAAAAGAGGACCUGGAAAGAUAACUCAACUGUUGUGAGACUUGCUGCUUUUUCAGAGGACCUAGGUUCAGUUCCCAGCACCUACAUGAUGACAUGUAACUCCAGCUCUGGUGCCCUCUUCUGGCCUCCAAGGGCGCAUGCAUGCAUGUAUACAUACACAGUCAUACACACCUAAAAUGAAAAUAAUCUUUGAAGCUUAAAUGAAAUUUCUGUUAACUUUUAGAUACUAUUAUUUGUUUCGCUGGAUGCUUCUUGAAACAAAGCUAUAAAUUGUAAUAGUUUGAUCCUUUAAAAAUAUUUAAAUUACUUUUUCAAAAUCUAGAAAAAGUAUUCUUACUAAAUUCAGUUGAGUUGUCCUAAUAGAAACAGUCAACUUAUUCCCAUCUUAAUGUUUUAGUUUGGCUCUGAAACACUUAGCACAAUGUAGAUUUCUUCCUUACAUAAUAAAGUCACAGACUAUCAGAGCUAGAAAUGACCUUAAGAGAGUCACUUAUUCACACCACCACCACCACCUUCAUUUUAUUGUUGAGGCAACACCUCAAAGGAGAGGUGAUUGGCUCCAGGUUAUAUAGCUAAUUAGUGAUAGAUUCCUUACUGGGACAUAGUUUGGAGUUGAAACCUUCAACUAUGAGAUUAUGAGCCUCACCAUACCGGCCGCUUGUCCUUGAAGUCUCAGGUGUUUUUCAACUGUUCAUUCUAUUACACUCUAUUUUCACUGCACAUUAAGUGGUGCUUUAUAAUUUCUGUAGUAGGACCAUUGUUCAUACUUUCAAAUUAAACAGUAUGACAAUAAUGCUUGAGUGUUAAAGUUCUCUUUUGGAGACUGAAGUUUGCAGAUGUGAGUGCACAUGUUUGGCAUUUACUAUGUGCUUAUGUAUUAUUAAUGGACAUUUAAGAUUACUGUUUGGUCACUGUCUAUACUUACCAACAAACCUGCAUUUUUAAUUUGAUGUAAUAACGGCAUAAUGUAAUUUCUGUUUUUGCAUUUUUGUUAUCCUUUACCCAAAAGACUGACCAAUUGCUUUGUCAUAUUGUACUAUAUUUGUGAAUAUAAUUUUAUGACUCCUUUUUGUUCUUUUAAUGGAUACCUUUUCUUUCAUUAUGAAAACUUUUCAUCCUGAAAACUUUCAUUAUGAAAAUUAUAGAGAGAAUUGCUUUCUGCUCUAUAAUCUGUCAUUUGUUAUAGAUUAAAGCUUAUUUUUCUGUGAAUAAAACUUAUUCAAUAAAGCACUAUUCUUUAAAAUGUU